UAAUUAUAGUCGUUAAUAAUGAUAAUAUACCAUUAAUUAGCAUUCAACAACUGUUAUAUAUACAAAAGCAUCACAAAUCACCAAUUUUUAUACACAUAAUCACAUAGAUAUACAAAUUUAAUUAGUAUUGCACAAUGAUAGAUCCACAUCACAUAAACCAUCAACAAGACACAACAAAAUCAUUCACAAAACCUACACAUGUUAUUAUGUUUUGCACAUAUUUGCAAACACUUUACAAAAUCAUUCACAAAAAUACUAACGCUUCAAGUGAUUCGCAAAAGUCUUCACAAAAGCACUCCAACUUCUUGUAUCCUCUUGUUUUAAGGCACAAGCUUGUAGGGGUUGUGAUGUCGCCACUUACUUGAUGCUAACAAGACAUUUCCUUCACCAAAGCCAUCUUCAACACUUCGCCCAUAAAAAAGAUCAAUUCUCAUUUUCAAUUGCCUGUCUGCAGGACAAGUGAUAAUUACAAUAAGUAAAUUAUAAUCUACAUUUAUAUAAUCUAGACUACCAAACAGCUACAUAUAGUAGAUUAUAAUCUGGAUUAUAUAAUUUAGAUUAUAAUCCAACGGCCAGACUGUUCGACGAAAAUGUUAUAGUGAUUGUAGGCUUAAAUGUAGUCAUAUGCUUUUACAGAUGAUCCAAGCAAGGAGAGUUAGUUGAUCUAAGUACUGCUUGACCCAAACCUAAUGCAAAACAGUGUUUAUUUCUUACAAAUGGUGGCAGACACCAUACAAGGAUUUCUUUCUUCAAAAAAAGGAAAAAAAGGAAGGGACUUCUAUUUCAAACAGUAGAUCUUUGGUAUAUAAAACAACUUAUGAAAAAGGUUCUUCAGUGUAUGUUUCCGAUUAAUAAAUAUGAAGCCUGAACAUUUUCAUCAAAAUUGGAAAGUUAAAAACAGCACCACCACGACAUACCUUGCCAGCAACUAUUGCUCUUCCAAGAGCCUCCAGUUGCUCUUCAAUUAGAACAGAUGUGUACUAGCAGUUCGGAUCGUACUCUAUCUCCACAAACAUUGGAACAUACCUGCAAGUGGAAAAAACUAGUGGUUAGGACCUUAGGGUGUAGAGACAUGCAAUGAAAUGUGAGGUAAAAUAUAAGCUAAGUCAGAGACUGAUUAGGCCAGUGGAGGCCUGGUGCUACUAUAGUCGAUCUUGGAAUCCUAUUGAUCUUUAAAAGAGAGAUACUACAGAUACUACAAGGCACACAAGGUUCAGUGCAUAUUUAGUCUCGUAAGAAAUGAACCUGGGCUCACAAGGUUCAGUGCUCGAUUUGUACGCCCCGCUUGUUUAAAUAGUAGAGCUCUUAUUUUUUUAAGAGAAAAAAUGGAGUAAACAGAAAAAGGUAGUAAAGAAAAAUAAAAAAUGGAAAUUCGGGAACACGUCCCGCGGAAGCGGUCAGAGGAUCCAGCAAGCUCGCAGAGCAAAAUCUUGGAAACAGUUACAGCGACAGCGACAGCGGAUCGGGCACAUGCCGCGUGACAUCAGGGCGCGCCACCUGCGGAAACCGACGACGGGUGUGUACUGCCGGCGUCCCCGGACCGCCCGAUCCCGUGCGCCGGGCUGAGCGACAGCGGGUUUGCGCCCAGGGGAGCGACGGUGGCAUGCGAGUAAGAGGAGGUGGCGGCGGCAAGAAGUUAGGGUUCGGUCGAGUCUUCCUGGGCGUUGGCGGCGUCGGGUCUUCCUGGGCGCUGGCGGGUCGAGGCAGUCGGGGCGUCGGGCGUCGGGCGUCGCGUGCGCUUGAUCCUUGGCGCGGUCGUGGUAGAGAGAAGAGAGAGGGAAGAGAAGGGAUGAGAGAGAGAGGCCGGGUGGGAGAAGCAGGUGGCGGCGGCCAGAGGAAGGAGGCGCGCGCGGCUAGGUUAGGGUUAGGCGGCGG
rnacentral:lncRNA from 1 species